UUCGAUACCGACUCUUUUGUCAAUUGAUACGGAAAUUUGAAAAUCGUUUUGCUUUUCGAAUUCACUGAACAAAAAAGCCAUAUAGAAGAGCCUACGCUAUACAGCCGAUGAUAAUAUCAAAAUUUGGAAUAUCCUUGAGUGCGUGUUUGUAGAUGUAAAACAAUCAGUUUAGCGGUUUACGACGCACCAGUUAUGACAAAAGACAAUGGUUGCAUGCAGAUAAACGAGGAGGAUAUAUAACAACAUCCACACACACAAACAUUAUUAUAGAGCUUUUAAAUGGAAGCGGAUAUAAACCGAAACUCAUAAAUAAGUCCUUGGAAUAAGGAUGUACUUAUGGCUUUAUUAUGAAAGAGUCCCUAUAUCCAGAAAAAGGAGAUAUGGAAGGAGGUUUAUAAGGAUGGACUCUAUCCAACUGUAAAG